rnacentral:misc_RNA from 1 species
AAGUCGUCACAAGGUUUCCGUAGGUGAACCUCUGCUUCGGGAUGCCAUGCAGCUAUCUCCGUUCAUAUCCUAACUGUAACUUCUCAUUUGUCAGAGGUCCCGAAUCAAUACUGUUCAACAAUGAUUUACCGGAAUUGCUGGAUCGCACUUGGCUAGGAGAACAGGUCUGAAGGUUCACAGGGGGGUUUUACGUUGGAUACGUGCUAAUGAUCCUUCGCUCAGUGUCUGAAAGUGUCAUUGAUUGUCUAAGGAUCUCGCUUCUACGAUUGCUUAGGGUCGCUCACCGACCAGCAGACAUGCAACCGGGUCCCCAUGCCCCUUUGAUAACCCCAAUAACUCUGUGACUCCACGGGAAACCAGUGGGGUAAAAAAACUCGAACAACUGUUAACAAUGGAUAUCUUGGUUCUC